rnacentral:rRNA from 1 species
UACGGGGGGGCAAGCGUUGUUCGGAAUUACUGGGCGUAAAGCGUGCGCAGGCGGCUCCUUAAGUCAGAUGUGAAAUCCCCGGGCUUAACCUGGGAACUGCGUUUGAAACUGAGGAGCUCGAGUGUGGAAGAGGGGGGUGGAAUUCCAGGUGUAGCAGUGAAAUGCGUAGAGAUCUGGAGGAACACCGAUGGCGAAGGCAGCCCCCUGGGCUAACACUGACGCUCAUGCACGAAAGCGUGGGGAGCAAACAGG